UAAACCUCCUUCCUACAGCUGUAACUCAACUCUAAAUCCACCGUGCUUUCACGCAGAACAUUCUAGAUCACACACUGUUGCUCUGGUGCUGCACUGUUGC